CCAGAACACAGGUGCUGCAUGGCUGUCGUCAGCUCGUGUCGUGAGAUGUUGGGUUAAGUCCCGCAACGAGCGCAACCCUUGUCUUUAGUUGCCAGCAUAGGUUGGCACUCUAAAGAGACUGCCGGUGUCAAACCGGAGGAAGGUGGGGAUGACGUCAAGUCCUCAUGGCCUUUAUGACCAGGGCUACACACGUACUACAAUGGCAUAUACAAAGGGCGGCGACAUCGCGAGGUGAAGCGAAUCCCAAAAAUAUGUCUCAGUCCGGAUUGGAGUCUGCAACUCGACUCCAUGAAGUUGGAAUCGCUAGUAAUCGCGGAUCAGCACGCCGCGGUGAAUACGUUCCCGGGCCUU
rnacentral:rRNA from 1 species